UACGAAGGACCCGAGCGUUAUCCGGAUUUAUUGGGUUUAAAGGGUGCGUAGGCGGGCAUGUAAGUUCGUGGUGAAAUCUCCGAGCUUAACUCGGAAACUGCCAUGGAUACUAUGUGUCUUGAAUGUUGUGGAGGUGAGCGGAAUAUGUCAUGUAGCGGUGAAAUGCUUAGAUAUGACAUAGAACACCAAUUGCGAAGGCAGCUCACUACACAAAUAUUGACGCUGAGGCACGAAAGCGUGGGGAUCAAACAGG
rnacentral:rRNA from 1 species